AGAGUUUGAUCCUGGCUCAGGAUGAACGUUGGCGGCGUGCCUAACACAUGCAAGUCGAACGGAAAUAGCAAUAUUUGAGUGGCGCACGGGUGAGUAACACGUAGCUAAUCUACCUCAAAGCGCGGGAUAACGUGUCGAAAGACAGGCUAAUACCGCAUAAGCUCGCGGGCUGUAGAGGCCUGCGAGAAAAGGCGUAAGUCACUUUGAGAUGAGGCUGCGGCCCAUCAGCUAGUUGGCGUGGUAACAGCACACCAAGGCGACGACGGGUAGGGGACCUGAGAGGGUGACCCCCCACAAUGGAACUGAAACACGGUCCAUACACCUACGGGUGGCAGCAGUAGGGAAUAUUGCUCAAUGGGCGAAAGCCUGAAGCAGCAACGCCGCGUGUGUGAUGAAGGCCUUCGGGUCGUAAAGCACUUUUCUGGGAGAUGAGAAAGGACAGUAUCCCAGGAAUAAGUCUCGGCUAACUACGUGCCAGCAGCCGCGGUAAUUC
rnacentral:rRNA from 1 species